rnacentral:ncRNA from 1 species
ACAAAACCUGUGAUAAGGAGAGUAACUAUUUGAUAAGAUUUUAGCGAGCUAAGGGUAGUGUAAGCUUAGUAUUAAGUCUUAUAGUGAAGAACACCUUGGAGGAGCUAACCGAAAUUCUAAAGAAGAGUAGACUUAGCCGGUUUUCUACCGUUAAAAAGAAUAAGCAUAAGUUAAGUUUUUUAACCGUGCUGAUAUGAGUGAGCGAAAGCUAACUAGGGUGGUACCGCGAAUAUAUUCGUCCCUAUA